UCCCUGGUGGUCUAGUGGUUAGGCCUCUGUGCUUUUGCUGUUGUGGCCCAGGUUCAAUCCCUGGUCUGGGAA
rnacentral:tRNA from 1 species